rnacentral:lncRNA from 1 species
UCCUAAUUCUAACUCUUUUCUGUCAUUUGCUUUUCAAGUUCUCAACUCCGUGCUUACUUCUUAUUUCUUCUGUUUUUUUUUCUUUUUAGAUUAAUUUUCUCAAUUUGGCAUUGUUGAAACCUUCUCUCCUUCUCUCUUUCUUUUUUUCAAAAUUGACUAUUGGGGUGGUUAUGGUGAUGGUUGAGUCAAAAGGUAUAAGGG